UACGUAGGGGGCAAGCGUUGUCCGGAAUCAUUGGGCGUAAAGAGCGUGUAGGCGGUCCGAUAAGUCCGCUCUGAAAGCCCGGGGCUCAACCCCGGGAGGCGGGCGGAUACUGUCGGGCUAGAGUCCGGAAGAGGCAAGUGGAAUUCCUGGUGUAGCGGUGAAAUGCGUAGAUAUCGAGAGGAACACCUGCGGCGAAGGCGGGUUGCUGGGCUGAUACUGACGCUGAGGCGCGAAAGCCAGGGGAGCGAACGGG
rnacentral:rRNA from 1 species